AUGUACAAAACAGCCACAUCCUCUCGUAUGAUCAGUUUCUUGAUGACGGCGAUUAUGAAAGAGUUGAAAGGGAACUCUCUUGCCACACGAUUCACUGUCACUGAAAGCCUACAGGGCAAGACCAUAAAGCUGAGUCUUUUAAGAGAAAAAGGAAAUCCUAUUUUCCGUGAUGAUGACGUUUCCCAUUCAGGUAAGAAUGAUCCUGACUUCACCAGGAGAUCUCAUAGCUAUUUUUGUCCUACUUUCAGUCUCCUAACAACCUUAUGGGGACAAUAGAAAUGACGUCUCGCAUAGCUACUAUAAUUGUUAUUGAUUGUACAAAGGUUUAGUUAGUGCCAAGCCUGGGUGGGAGGCCGAGGCGUGGUGGGGCGGGGAGAGCACACUGGCUGGGAGAAGAGGUGGAUUGUCUGAGUGGCAUCCCUGUUCUGCACAGACCCUCCAGCCGAGCUAUCUAGGAAGCUCUGGGCGCUCAGGAAAUGCUAUAGAAUGCGUGAAUGAGUGGAACGUACCCAGGGCAUGCCCGAAGAGGAUGGGGGACCAGGAAGCUGCAGGUACGGAAUAUGUUUCUAGGCUUAUAAGAGUUGGACACCUAUUCCUGGUAAAGAAUCUGCCUGCAAUGCAGGAGACCCUGGUUUGAUUCCUGGGCCAGGAAGAUCCCCUAAAGAAGGGACAGGCUACCUACUCCAGUAUUCUUGGGCUUCCCUGGUAGCUCAGACAGUAAAGAAUCUGCCUGCAAUGCGUGAGACCUGGGUUAAAUCCAUGGGUUGGGAAGAUCCCCUGGAGGAGGGCAUGGCAACUCACUCAAGUAUUCUUGCCUGGAGAAUCCCCAUGGACAGAGGAGCCUGCAAGCUAUAGUCCAUGGGGUCACAAAGAGUCAGACACAACUGAGUGACUUUCACUUCACUACUUCACACUUCUUUCACAUAAUCCUCAUAACAGCCCUGAGAGACAGACAACUAUUUAACCUGUUUUCAGAUGAGAAAACUGAAGUUUAGAGCUAAAUGCUAGUCAGAGUACCCAGUACCUAGCAAGCCUUCGAGUAAUACUAACACAGUUGCGGUUAUAACAUAAUUAAAAUGUCCUUCCACGUACUGUUUUAACCACACUCAAUUCAUCUCAGUCCUCUUGUUAGUAAUCUCCAGAGACAAUCUUCUUUCUCACCCAUGCACAGAGCUGAGUAAUUCCCCCUCCCUGCCUUUGCCCCUGCCAAUCCACCCACCUGGAAUUCCCUCACCCUUUUCUCUGCUUGUCAAUAGCCAUAAUCUAUUUCAAGACCUGAUCACAUCUGCUUCCUCCAGGAAGACCCCUCAGAUUACCCCACUCACUACUCACCACUUCCAUGUUCUCUUCACCUCCACCCCCGUCCCCUUGCAAUCACAGACAACAUCGUGUCUGACUCCUUGCGACCCCAUGCACUGCAGCACGCCAGGCUCCUCUGUCCAGGGGAUUUCCCAGGCAAGAAUACUGGAGUGGGUUGCCAUUUCCUUCUUUAGAGGAUCUUCCCAACCCAGGGAUCCUCUCCUGCGUUGGUAGGUGGAUUCUUUGCUACUGAGCCACCAGGGAAGCCAGGAAGCUAUAGCAUCAGUUCAGUUCAGUCCAGUCGUUCAGUAGUGUCUGACUCUUUGUGACCCCAUGAAUCAACAACAUUGUAGCUUUGUUCAAAGCUUGACAUUUUACAAGCAUUUUCACACAUUGACUAGCACACUGUUGGGGAGCCUGGUAAACCUCUCCCAAGUUGUGUGACUCUGGGAAAGUUGAUUGACUUCUCUGAGCCUCAUCUGUUAAUAGAAGUCAAAGUAAGUCCGUACCACUUGGAGCUGCAUGGUGAACGAGACACCUGAGCCCAGCCUGGGGUGAAGGUCCAGCCCAGGUUAGUACUGAUUAUUAGUGUUAGGGACCAAACGACGGUCUCUAGGACCUGAGUCAUGUUUACCAGAAAGAGACAGGAUAUACGCUCAUCCUGCCUGGCCAAUUAUGUAACACCAGCUACUCCUGUAACUGAGACAAAGAACUGCCUGUAUAUAAGCCACCAUACUCCUUUGUUCGGGGCUCUUGUCGGAUUCCCUUGUGUGGGAUGAGACUUGGGCCCUAGCGCACUAGAGAUAAACUCCCUUCUUGCCCUUGCAUUACCGUGGUGGACUUGCUCUCUCUCUCGGUCGGUU
ensembl:lincRNA